ensembl:misc_RNA Metazoa_SRP Metazoan signal recognition particle RNA
GCUGGGCAUGUUGGCACAUGCCUGUAGUUCCAGCUACUAAAGGAGGCUGAGGCAGAAGGAUCCUUUGAGCCCAGGAGUUCAAGGCUGCAGUAAGUUAUGAUUGCACCACUGCACUCUAGCCUGGGCAACAGAGCAAGACUCUGUCUCUU